ACGUAUGGUUCUAUUUUGUUGGUUUCUAGGACCGUCGUAAUGAUUAAUAGGGACAGUCGGGGGCAUCAGUAUUCAAUUGUCAGAGGUGAAAUUCUUGGAUUUAUUGAAGACUAACUACUGCGAAAGCAUUUGCCAAGGAUGUUUUCAUUAAUCAAGAACGAAAGUUAGGGGAUCGAAGACGAUCAGAUACCGUCGUAGUCUUAACCAUAAACUAUGCCGACUAGGGAUCGGGCGAUGCUCUUUUUUGACUCGCUCGGCACCUUACGAGAAAUCAAAGUUUUUGGGUUCUGGGGGGAGUAUGGUCGCAAGGCUGAAACUUAAAGGAAUUGACGGAAGGGCACCACCAGGAGUGGAGCCUGCGGCUUAAUUUGACUCAACACGGGGAAACUCACCAGGUCCAGACACAAUAAGGAUUGACAGAUUGAUAGCUCUUUCUUGAUUUUGUGGGUGGUGGUGCAUGGCCGUUCUUAGUUGGUGGAGUGAUUUGUCUGCUUAAUUGCGAUAACGAACGAGACCUUAACCUACUAAAUAGCUUGAUCAGCUUUGGCUGAUUAUUAGCUUCUUAGAGGGACUAUCGAUAUCAAAUCGAUGGAAGUUUGAGGCAAUAACAGGUCUGUGAUGCCCUUAGACGUUCUGGGCCGCACGCGCGCUACACUGACGGAGCCAGCGAGUAAAUAACCUUGGCCGAGAGGUCUGGGUAACCUUGU
rnacentral:rRNA from 1 species